rnacentral:rRNA from 1 species
AACGAACGCUGGCGGCAUGCCUAACACAUGCAAGUCGAACGAGACCUUCGGGUCUAGUGGCGCACGGGUGCGUAACGCGUGGGAAUCUGCCCUUGGGUUCGGAAUAACAGUUGGAAACGACUGCUAAUACCGGAUGAUGACGUAAGUCCAAAGAUUUAUCGCCCAAGGAUGAGCCCGCGUAGGAUUAGCUAGUUGGUGAGGUAAAGGCUCACCAAGGCGACGAUCCUUAGCUGGUCUGAGAGGAUGAUCAGCCACACUGGGACUGAGACACGGCCCAGACUCCUACGGGAGACAGCAGUGGGGAAUAUUGGACAAUGGGCGAAAGCCUGAUCCAGCAAUGCCGCGUGAGUGAUGAAGGCCUUAGGGUUGUAAAGCUCUUUUACCCGGGAUGAUAAUGACAGUACCGGGAGAAUAAGCUCCGGCUAACUCCGUG